rnacentral:lncRNA from 1 species
UGGGCGGGAUUCGUAUCACUAUGUUUGAACACAAGAAACAAAAUAAAAUCAGUCAAUUCUAUUUUAACGUGAAACAAUAUAACUUGAAAGUUACAAGAAGUUUUUGGACAGAAAAAGAAUGAUCUCAUUACAUAUUAUGAAAUGACCCUGUGACCUUAAAACCUUGGGUUGGUAGGUAAUCUUAUUGCUCCUGGCAUCACCAAACUGCCCUUACGUCUGAAGAUUACAAAGGAACUACUUAUCAACAACAACAACAUUAUCGCCUGCAAAUGUAAUGCCAAUGAGGGAGAGCUUUUCUUCAUUAACAGCAGGUAUACAGCUUCUGUAAGUUACGUACAUCUCUGGUCCAACUUGUAUGGUGGAUGAAUCUUCCAAGAGAUUCCUACUGCCUUUUUCUUCAUCAACAACAGCAAUCUUGACACAUCUCAUGGGUAUACGAUACCCAGUUUCACUGCAGCGAU